CCCUGGUGGCGAGUGGCGAACGGGUGAGUAAUACAUCGGAACGUGUCCUGUAGUGGGGGAUAGCCCGGCGAAAGCCGGAUUAAUACCGCAUACGCUCUACGGAGGAAAGGGGGGGAUCUUAGGACCUCUCGCUACAGGGGCGGCCGAUGGCAGAUUAGCUAGUUGGUGGGGUAAAGGCCUACCAAGGCGACGAUCUGUAGCUGGUCUGAGAGGACGACCAGCCACACUGGGACUGAGACACGGCCCAGACUCCUACGGGAGGCAGCAGUGGGGAAUUUUGGACAAUGGGCGCAAGCCUGAUCCAGCAAUGCCGCGUGUGUGAAGAAGGCCUUCGGGUUGUAAAGCACUUUUGUCCGGAAAGAAAACGUCGUGGUUAAUACCCGUGGCGGAUGACGGUACCGGAAGAAUAAGCACCGGCUAACUACGUGCCAGCAGCCGCGGUAAUACGUAGGGUGCAAGCGUUAAUCGGAAUUACUGGGCGUAAAGCGUGCGCAGGCGGUCCGCUAAGACAGAUGUGAAAUCCCCGGGCUUAACCUGGGAACUGCAUUUGUGACUGGCGGGCUAGAGUAUGGCAGAGGGGGGUAGAAUUCCACGUGUAGCAGUGAAAUGCGUAGAGAUGUGGAGGAAUACCGAUGGCGAAGGCAGCCCCCUGGGCCAAUACUGACGCUCAUGCACGAAAGCGUGGGGAGCAAACAGGAUUAGAUACCCUGGUAGUCCACGCCCUAAACGAUGUCAACUAGUUGUCGGGUCUUCAUUGACUUGGUAACGUAGCUAACGCGUGAAGUUGACCGCCUGGGGAGUACGGUCGCAAGAUUAAAACUCAAAGGAAUUGACGGGGACCCGCACAAGCGGUGGAUGAUGUGGAUUAAUUCGAUGCAACGCGAAAAACCUUACCUACCCUUGACAUGUAUGGAAUCCUG
rnacentral:rRNA from 1 species